rnacentral:rRNA from 1 species
CCAAUAGCGUAUAUUAAAGUUGUCGCAGUUAAAAAGCUCGUAGUUGAAUUUCGGGAUCAAGGGAUUGGUCAUGCCUUGGUAUGCACUGGUCUUAUUGGUUCUCACCUUCUAAGGAACCAUGAUGUCAUUCAUUUGAUGUUGUGGGGAAUUAGGACUGUUACCUUGAAAAAAUUAGAGUGUUUAAAGCAAGCUUACGCUUGAAUACAUUAGCAUGGAAUAAUGAAAUAGGACAUCAGAUUCUAUUUUGUUGGUUUCUAGGAUCGAUGUAAUGAUUAAUAGGGAUAGUUGGGGGCAUUAGUAUUCAAUUGUCAGAGGUGAAAUUCUUGGAUUUAUUGAAGACUAACUACUGCGAAAGCAUUUGCCAAGGAUGUUUUCAUUAAUCAAGAACGAAAGUUAGGGGAUCGAAGACGAUCAGAUACCGUCGUAGUCUUAACCAUAAACUAUGCCGACUAGGGAUCGGAUGAUGUUAAUUUUUUAAUGACUCAUUCGGCACCUUACG